CCCUUAGAUGUUCUGGGCCGCACGCGCGCUACACUGAUGCAUUCAACGAGCACCCGCUGGGCCGAGAGGUCCGGCUAAUCUUUGAACGUGCAUCGUGCUGGGGAUAGAUGAUUGCAAUUAUUCAUCUUCAACGAGGAAUUCCUAGUAAACGCAAGUCAUCAGCUUGCAUUGAUUACGUCCCUGCCCUUUGUACACACCGCCCGUCGCACCUACCGAUUGAAUGGUCCGGUGAAGCCUCCGGAUUGGCGUGCACCCUCGGGUGCUGCCGAGAAGUUGGCUAAACCUUACCAUUUAGAGGAAGGUGAAGUCGUAACA
rnacentral:rRNA from 1 species